rnacentral:misc_RNA from 1 species
AGGGUUUGACAUCCCGAGAAUUUCUGCGAAAGCAGAGAGUGCUUUAUUGAACUCGGUGACAGAUGAUGCAUGGCCGUCGUCAGCUCGUGUCGUGAGAUGUUUGGUUAAGUCCAUUAACGAGCGCAACCCUUGUGAAUAGUUGUAUUUUUCUAUUCAGACUGCCCCGGCAACGGGGAGGAAGGUGGGGAUGACGUUUCCUCAUGCGUU